rnacentral:rRNA from 1 species
AGAACGAACGCUGGCGGCAGGCUUAACACAUGCAAGUCGAACGCUCACCUUCGGGUGGGAGUGGCAGACGGGUGAGUAACGCGUGGGAACGUACCCUUUGGUUCGGAAUAACCCAGGGAAACUUGGGCUAAUACCGGAUAAGCAGGAAACUGGAAAGGUUUACCGCCGAAGGAUCGGCCCGCGUCGGAUUAGCUAGUUGGUGGGGUAAAAGCCUACCAAGGCGACGAUCCGUAGCUGGUCUGAGAGGAUGAUCAGCCACACUGGGACUGAGACACGGCCCAGACUCCUACGGGAGGCAGCAGUGGGGAAUAUUGGACAAUGGGCGCAAGCCUGAUCCAGCCAAUGCCGCGUGAGUGAAGAAGGCCUUAGGGUUGUAAAGCUCUUUCAGCGGGAAGAUAAUGACGGUACCGCAGAAGAAGCCCGGCUAACUCGUGCCAGCAGCCGC